AGCGCCAAGCCUUUCCCAAGAUAAGCUCUCCCAAUAGGAUCCAGGAAGACCACCUGGUUGAUAGGCUACAAGUGUAAGCGGGGUAACCCGUUGAGCUCAGUAGUACUAAUGUCCGAUAGUCUUUUCAUU
rnacentral:rRNA from 1 species